UCCAGUAAGUGUUAAGAACAUCACCCCUAUUAUUGAAAUGGUUUUCUAUAUCAUAACAUUUAUUAUUUGUAGUUUUGGAGACAUAAUGUAAUAUAUUAAAUGACUAAGAUAAAACUAUAGACCAAUGCUUCGAAAACUUAAUCGGACAUUUGAGCCGAUGAAACUUUGGUGUUAUAAUUCAACUGCUUUAAACUGUUCGAAACAAGAUGAAACAUAAUUGAACCGUCCAAAUAACCAAAUUGUAAACCGUACUUUUCUCGGUUCAACUUGUUAAACCGUCGGAUUCAAUUUAGUUUUUAAAACAUUGACUA
rnacentral:lncRNA from 1 species